rnacentral:rRNA from 1 species
AUGAGGUGUGGGUAGCGGAGAAAUUCCAAUCGAACUUGGAGAUAGCUGGUUCUCUCCGAAAUAGCUUUAGGGCUAGCCUCGAGGUAAAGAGUCAUGGAGGUAGAGCACUGUUUGGACUAGGGGCCCUUCUCGGGUUACCGAAUUCAGAUAAACUCCGAAUGCCAUGUACUUAUACUCGGGAGUCAGACUGCGAGUGAUAAGAUCCGUAGUCGAAAGGGAAACAGCCCAGACCACCAGUUAAGGUCCCCAAAUAUAUGUUAAGUGGAAAAGGAUGUGGGGUUGCUUAGACAACCAGGAUGUUGGCUUAGAAGCAGCCACCAUUGAAAGAGUGCGUAAUAGCUCACUGGUCGAGUGACCCCGCGCCGAAAAUGUACCGGGGCUAAACAUAUUACCGAAACUGUGGAUGAACCUCUUUAGAGGUUCGUGGUAGGAGAGCGUUCUAAGGGCGGUGAAGUCAGACCGGAAGGACUGGUGGAGCGCUUAGAAGUGAGAAUGCCGGUAUGAGUAGCGAAAGAAGGGUGAGAAUCCCUUCCACCGAAUAUCUAAGGUUUCCUGAGGAAGGCUCGUCCGCUCAGGGUUAGUCGGGACCUAAGCCGAGGCCGAUAGGCGUAGGCGAUGGACAACAGGUAGAGAUUCCUGUACCAGUGCUAAUUGUUUAACCGAUGGGGUGACACAGAAGGAUAGGGAAUCGCACGAAUGGAAAUGUGCGUCCAAGCAGUGAGUGUGAGAAGUAGGCAAAUCCGCUUCUCGCGAAGCAUGAGCUGUGAUGGGGAAGGAAAUUAAGUACGGAAGUUCCUGAUUUCACGCUGUCAAGAAAAGCCUCUAGGAAGAGUAGUACUGCCCGUACCGCAAACCGACACAGGUAGAUGAGGAGAGAAUCCUAAGGUGAGCGAGAGAACUCUCGUUAAGGAACUCGGCAAAAUGACCCCGUAACUUCGGGAGAAGGGGUGCUCUAUUAGGGUGCAAGCCCGAGAGAGCCGCAGUGAAUAGGCCCAGGCGACUGUUUAGCAAAAACACAGGUCUCUGCAAAACCGUAAGGUGACGUAUAGGGGCUGACGCCUGCCCGGUGCUGGAAGGUUAAGAGGAGUGCUUAGCUUCGGCGAAGGUACGAAUUGAAGCCCCAGUAAACGGCGGCCGUAACUAUAACGGUCCUAAGGUAGCGAAAUUCCUUGUCGGGUAAGUUCCGACCCGCACGAAAGGCGCAACGAUCUGGGCACUGUCUCAACGAGAGACUCGGUGAAAUUAUAGUACCUGUGAAGAUGCAGGUUACCCGCGACAGGACGGAAAGACCCCGUGGAGCUUUACUGCAACCUGAUAUGGAAUGUUUGUACCGCUUGUACAGGAUAGGUAGGAGCCGAAGAGACGUGUGCGCUAGCAUACGAGGAGGCAAUGGUGGGAUACUACCCUGGCUGUAUGACCAUUCUAACCCGCCACGCUUAGCGCGUGGGGAGACAGUGUCAGGUGGGCAGUUUGACUGGGGCGGUCGCCUCCUAAAGAGUAACGGAGGCGCCCAAAGGUUCCCUCAGAAUGGAUGGAAAUCAUUCGCAGAGUGUAAAGGCACAAGGGAGCUUGACUGCGAGACUGACAAGUCGAGCAGGGACGAAAGUCGGGCUUAGUGAUCCGGUGGUUCCGCAUGGAAGGGCCAUCGCUCAACGGAUAAAAGCUACCCCGGGGAUAACAGGCUUAUCUCCCCCAAGAGUCCACAUCGACGGGGAGGUUUGGCACCUCGAUGUCGGCUCGUCGCAUCCUGGGGCUGUAGUCGGUCCCAAGGGUUGGGCUGUUCGCCCAUUAAAGCGGCACGCGAGCUGGGUUCAGAACGUCGUGAGACAGUUCGGUCCCUAUCCGUCGCGGGCGCAGGAAAUUUGAGAGGAGCUGUCCUUAGUACGAGAGGACCGGGAUGGACACACCGCUGGUGUACCAGUUGUUCCGCCAGGAGCAUCGCUGGGUAGCUAUGUGUGGCAGGGAUAAACGCUGAAAGCAUCUAAGCGUGAAGCCCCCCUCAAGAUGAGAUUUCCCAUUUCUUCGGAAAGUAAGAUCCCUGAAAGAUGAUCAGGUAGAUAGGUUUGGAGUGGAAGUGUAGCGAUACAUGGAGCGGACAAAUACUAAUCGAUCGAGGACUUAACCAAAA